UACGGAGGUUGCAAGCGUUGUUCGGAAUAACUGGGCGUAAAGGGAGCGCAGGCGGUUCGGUAAGUCUAAAGUGAAAGCCCGGGGCUUAACUCCGGAAGUGCUUUAGAUACUGCCGUACUCGAGUUCGUGAUAGGAGAGCGGAAUUCCAGGUGUAGCGGUGAAAUGCGUAGAUAUCUGGAGGAACACCGGUGGCGAAAGCGGCUCUCUGGCACGAUACUGACGCUGAGGCUCGAAAGCAUGGGGAGCGAAC
rnacentral:rRNA from 1 species